UCAAUCUCCAAAUUGCAAAAAUGACCAUUAGCUAGUAAUUUGCAGGUUUGAGUUUCAGGGAACCAUACCUCACAAUAACAAUCUCGACUAGUAUUCAAACAUAAAAUGAGAGAAAUUGUAAGUUUUUCCAUACCAAAAUUGGGAAUAAUAAAAAAAUUUAGUAGAACAACCAUUAAACUAGUACAAAAUUAAGGAUUGCAUGCGAUUAGUUCAUGUUAAAACAAAAAUUGUCACUAACCUUUUGAUGCGAAGGUAAACAUUUGUGAUGAAUGCACCUGGUUACU
rnacentral:lncRNA from 1 species